AAGUCUUGACAUCCCAAUGAAUACGGGGCAAUGCCCGUAGUACUUCGGUACAUUGGAGACAGGUGGUGCAUGGUUGUCGUCAGCUCGUGUCGUGAGAUGUUGGGUUAAGUCCCGCAACGAGCGCAACCCUUAUGUUUAGUAGCCAGCAGGUAAGGCUGGGCACUCUAGAGAGACUGCCGGGGAUAACCCGGAGGAAGGCGGGGAUGACGUCAAAUCAUCAUGCCCCUUAUGACUUGGGCUACACACGUGCUACAAUGGCGCAGACAAAGAGAAGCGAAGCCGUGAGGCGGAGCGAAUCUCAAAAACAGCGUCCCAGUUCGGAUUGUAGUCUGCAACCCGACUACAUGAAGCCGGAAUCGCUAGUAAUCGCGGAUCAGAAUGCCGCGGUGAAUACGUUCCCGGGUC
rnacentral:rRNA from 1 species